rnacentral:rRNA from 1 species
GACGAACGCUGGCGGCGUGCUUAACACAUGCAAGUCGAACGGAAAGGCCCUGCUUUUGUGGGGUUCUCGAGUGGCGAACGGGUGAGUAACACGUGAGUAACCUGCCCUUGACUUUGGGAUAACUUCAGGAAACUGGGGCUCAUACCGGAUAGGAGCUCCUGCUGCAUGGUGGGGGUUGGAAAGUUUCGGCGGUUGGGGCUGGACUCGCGGCUUAUCAGCUGGUUGGUGGGGUAGUGGCUUACCAGGGCUUUGACGGGUAGCCGGCCUGAGAGCGUGACCGGCCACAUUGGGACUGAGAUAGGGCCCAGACUCCUACGGGAGGCAGCAGUGGGGAAUAUUGCACAAUGGGCGGAAGCCUGAUGUAGCAACGCCGCGUGCGGGAUGACGGCCUUUGGGUUGUAAACCGAUUUCGCCUGUGACGAAGCGUGCGUGACGGUAAUGGGUAAAGAAGCCCCGGCUAACUACGUG